rfam:Rattus norvegicus chromosome 13, whole genome shotgun sequence.
GGGGAUUUGGCUCAGUGAUAGAGUGCUUGCCUAGCAAGCACAAGGCCCUGGGUUCGGUCCCCAGCUCCA